UUAAGCGACUAAGCGUACACGGUGGAUGCCCUGGCAGUCAGAGGCGAUGAAGGGCGUGCUAAUCUGCGAUAAGCGCCGGUAAGGUGAUAUGAACCGUUAUAACCGGCGAUACCCGAAUGGGGAAACCCAGUGUGAUUCGUCACACUAUCAUUAACUGAAUCCAUAGGUUAAUGAGGCGAACCGGGGGAACUGAAACAUCUAAGUACCCCGAGGAAAAGAAAUCAACCGAGAUUCCCCCAGUAGCGGCGAGCGAACGGGGAGGAGCCCAGAGCCUGAAUCAGCAUGUGUGUUAGUGGAAGCGUCUGGAAAGGCGCGCGAUACAGGGUGACAGCCCCGUACACAAAAGCGCAUAUGCUGUGAGCUCGAUGAGUAGGGCGGGACACGUGGUAUCCUGUCUGAAUAUGGGGGGACCAUCCUCCAAGGCUAAAUACUCCUGACUGACCGAUAGUGAACCAGUACCGUGAGGGAAAGGCGAAAAGAACCCCGGCGAGGGGAGUGAAAAAGAACCUGAAACCGUGUACGUACAAGCAGUGGGAGCACAGGUUUACCUGUGUGACUGCGUACCUUUUGUAUAAUGGGUCAGCGACUUAUAUUCUGUAGCAAGGUUAACCGAAUAGGGGAGCCGGAGGGAAACCGAGUCUUAAUUGGGCGUUAAGUUGCAGGGUAUAGACCCGAAACCCGGUGAUCUAGCCAUGGGCAGGUUGAAGGUUGGGUAACACUAACUGGAGGACCGAACCGACUAAUGUUGAAAAAUUAGCGGAUGACCUGUGGCUGGGGGUGAAAGGCCAAUCAAACCGGGAGAUAGCUGGUUCUCCCCGAAAGCUAUUUAGGUAGCGCCUCGUGAAUUCAUCUCCGGGGGUAGAGCACUGUUUCGGCUAGGGGGCCAUCCCGGCUUACCAACCCGAUGCAAACUGCGAAUACCGGAGAAUGUUAUCACGGGAGACACACGGCGGGUGCUAACGUCCGUCGUGAAGAGGGAAACAACCCAGACCGCCAGCUAAGGUCCCAAAGUCAUGGUUAAGUGGGAAACGAUGUGGGAAGGCCCAGACAGCCAGGAUGUUGGCUUAGAAGCAGCCAUCAUUUAAAGAAAGCGUAAUAGCUCACUGGUCGAGUCGGCCUGCGCGGAAGAUGUAACGGGGCUAAACCAUGCACCGAAGCUGCGGCAGCGACGCUGAUGCGUUGUUGGGUAGGGGAGCGUUCUGUAAGCCUGUGAAGGUGGCCUGUGAGGGUUGCUGGAGGUAUCAGAAGUGCGAAUGCUGACAUAAGUAACGAUAAAGCGGGUGAAAAGCCCGCUCGCCGGAAGACCAAGGGUUCCUGUCCAACGUUAAUCGGGGCAGGGUGAGUCGACCCCUAAGGCGAGGCCGAAAGGCGUAGUCGAUGGGAAACGGGUUAAUAUUCCCGUACUUGGUGUUACUGCGAAGGGGGGACGGAGAAGGCUAUGUUGGCCGGGCGACGGUUGUCCCGGUUUAAGCGUGUAGGCUGGUUUUCCAGGCAAAUCCGGAAAAUCAAGGCUGAGGCGUGAUGACGAGGCACUACGGUGCUGAAGCAACAAAUGCCCUGCUUCCAGGAAAAGCCUCUAAGCAUCAGGUAACAUCAAAUCGUACCCCAAACCGACACAGGUGGUCAGGUAGAGAAUACCAAGGCGCUUGAGAGAACUCGGGUGAAGGAACUAGGCAAAAUGGUGCCGUAACUUCGGGAGAAGGCACGCUGACAUGUAGGUGAAGUGAUUUACUCAUGGAGCUGAAGUCAGUCGAAGAUACCAGCUGGCUGCAACUGUUUAUUAAAAACACAGCACUGUGCAAACACGAAAGUGGACGUAUACGGUGUGACGCCUGCCCGGUGCCGGAAGGUUAAUUGAUGGGGUCAGCGCAAGCGAAGCUCCUGAUCGAAGCCCCGGUAAACGGCGGCCGUAACUAUAACGGUCCUAAGGUAGCGAAAUUCCUUGUCGGGUAAGUUCCGACCUGCACGAAUGGCGUAAUGAUGGCCAGGCUGUCUCCACCCGAGACUCAGUGAAAUUGAACUCGCUGUGAAGAUGCAGUGUACCCGCGGCAAGACGGAAAGACCCCGUGAACCUUUACUAUAGCUUGACACUGAACAUUGAGCCUUGAUGUGUAGGAUAGGUGGGAGGCUUUGAAGUGUGGACGCCAGUCUGCAUGGAGCCGACCUUGAAAUACCACCCUUUAAUGUUUGAUGUUCUAACGUGGACCCGUAAUCCGGGUUGCGGACAGUGUCUGGUGGGUAGUUUGACUGGGGCGGUCUCCUCCUAAAGAGUAACGGAGGAGCACGAAGGUUGGCUAAUCCUGGUCGGACAUCAGGAGGUUAGUGCAAUGGCAUAAGCCAGCUUGACUGCGAGCGUGACGGCGCGAGCAGGUGCGAAAGCAGGUCAUAGUGAUCCGGUGGUUCUGAAUGGAAGGGCCAUCGCUCAACGGAUAAAAGGUACUCCGGGGAUAACAGGCUGAUACCGCCCAAGAGUUCAUAUCGACGGCGGUGUUUGGCACCUCGAUGUCGGCUCAUCACAUCCUGGGGCUGAAGUAGGUCCCAAGGGUAUGGCUGUUCGCCAUUUAAAGUGGUACGCGAGCUGGGUUUAGAACGUCGUGAGACAGUUCGGUCCCUAUCUGCCGUGGGCGCUGGAGAACUGAGGGGGGCUGCUCCUAGUACGAGAGGACCGGAGUGGACGCAUCACUGGUGUUCGGGUUGUCAUGCCAAUGGCACUGCCCGGUAGCUAAAUGCGGAAGAGAUAAGUGCUGAAAGCAUCUAAGCACGAAACUUGCCCCGAGAUGAGUUCUCCCUGAGACUUAAAGUCUCCUGAAGGAACGUUGAAGACGACGACGUUGAUAGGCCGGGUGUGUAAGCGCAGCGAUGCGUUGAGCUAACCGGUACUAAUGAACCGUGAGGCUUAACCU
rnacentral:rRNA from 1 species